rnacentral:lncRNA from 1 species
GAUUCGGCCCCUUUCAGCUAUCUAUAAAGCUGAGCUGGUUGAGUGACAGCUUUGCAAACUUCAUUUAUUUCUGGGAUUCCUGGUCUGGUUAUUCUUCUGCAGACUUCAUAUUGGAUUAGAGGUUAAAAACUGAAACUGUGUACCACUCCUGGCUUGUGAGGUACAGUGUUGCUACUUGCUUCUGAAUUUCUUCCUCCCUACAUAUACAGUCAAAGGCAUGAAAUUGUUCCAUAUUCUGGAAUAACAUUCCUGGGAACAGAUCCCUUUCUAGUUUCUCAGAAUCCAUGACCUGGAUCUAAAUAGUGGCUAACAAAGCUACAAGUCAGGACCUGUUCCCAGACACUUCCCAAGGUUGCACCUCAGUAUGGAUUGAUAAUUUUCUUGCUACCCUUGCAUCUUGGUAUUGCCCUCUCUAAUCUAUUUCUUAACUGAGUUCUGAGCACUUCUCAAGGAAAGGAGAACAGAGUUUUUCUUUCUUCCUUCCUUUCUUUUUUUCUUCCUUCCUUCCUUCCUUCCUUCCUUUCUUCCUUCUUUUCUUCCUUCCUUCCUUCCUUCCUUCUUUCCUUUCUUUCUUUUUCUUUCUUUCUUUCUUUCUUUCUCUCUUUCUUUCUUUCUCUCUCUUUCUUUCUUUCUUUCUCUUCUUUCUUUCUUCUUUCUUUCUUUCUUUCUUUCCACCUAUGCAGCUGCUUUCUUGAAGUGUUGAGAGUGAUAUUAUUCUAGAAUCUA